AAUGAACGUUGGCGGCAUGGAUUAGGCAUGCAAGUCGAGCGAGAAGAGUCAUUUGCUUGCAUCUGACUCGGAAAGCGGCGUAAGGGUGAGUAACGCGUAGUUACCUACCUCCGGGUCCGGAAUAGCUGCGGGAAACUGCAGGUAAUGCCGGAUAACAUCUCAGGAUCAAAGGUGAGAUUCCGCCCGGAGAGGGGACUGCGUCCUACUAGCUUGUUGGUGGGGUAAUGGCCUACCAAGGCUCCGAUGGGUAGCGGGCGUGAGAGCGUGGCCCGUCACACUGGGACUGAGACACUGCCCAGACACCUACGGGUGGCUGCAGUCGAGAAUCUUCGGCAAUGGGCGAAAGCCUGACCGAGCAAUGCCGCGUGCGGGAUGAAGGCCCUCGGGUUGUAAACCGCGAAAGUAAGGAGGAAGGACCUGCGAAGAGCAGGUUUUGACCGAUCUACAGUAAGGACGGGCUAAGUUCGUGCCAGCCGCCGCAGUAACAC
rnacentral:rRNA from 1 species